rnacentral:rRNA from 1 species
AACACGUAAAGAACCUGCCCUCAGGUCUGGGAUAACCACGAGAAAUCGGGGCUAAUACCGGAUGGGUCAUCGGACCGCAUGGUCCGAGGAUGAAAGACGCUUCGGCGUCGCCUGGGGAUGGCUUUGCGGUGCAUUAGCUAGUUGGUGGGGUAAUGGCCCACCAAGGCGACGAUGCAUAGCCGACCUGAGAGGGUGAUCGGCCACACUGGGACUGAGACACGGCCCAGACUCCUACGGGAGGCAGCAGUAGGGAAUCUUCCACAAUGGACGAAAGUCUGAUGGAGCAACGCCGCGUGAACGAUGAUGGCCUUCGGGUCGUAAAGUUCUGUUGUAAGGGAAGAACAAGUGCCGCAGGCAAUGGCGGCACCUUGACGGUACCUUGCGAGAAAGCCACGGCUAACUACGUGCCAGCAGCCGCGGUAAUACGUAGGUGGCAAGCGUUGUCCGGAAUUAUUGGGCGUAAAGCGCGCGCAGGCGGCCUCUUAAGUCUGAUGUGAAAGCCCCCGGCUCAACCGGGGAGGGCCAUUGGAAACUGGGAGGCUUGAGUAUAGGAGAGAAGAGUGGAAUUCCACGUGUAGCGGUGAAAUGCGUAGAGAUGUGGAGG